rnacentral:rRNA from 1 species
UUCCGGUUGAUCCUGCCGGAGGCGACCGCUUUUGGAGUUCGAUUAAGCCAUGCGAGUCGAGAGCCUUGGGGGCUCGGCAUACUGCUCAGUAACACGUGGAUAACCUGCCCUAUUGUCUGGAAUAACCUCGGGAAACUGAGAACAAGGCCGGAUAACCCACUAUGCCUGGAACGGUUUGUGGGUGAAGAUAGGAUGGGUCUGCGGCGUAUCAGGUCGUAGGGGGUGUAAUGGACCUCCUAGCCAUCGACGCGUACGGGUGUUGGGAGACAUAGCCCGGAGAUGGAUUCUGAGACACGAAUCCAGACCCUACGGGGUGCAGCAGGCGCGAAAACUUCACACUGCAGGAAACUGUGAUGAGGGAACUCCAAGUGCAUCCACUAUGUGGAUGCUUUUUUUGACUAUUAAUCGGUCAACGAAUAAGGGCUGGGAAAGACCGGUGCCAGCCGCCGCGGUAAUACCGGCAGCUCAAGUGGUCGUCGCUUUUAUUGGGCCUAAAACGUCCGUAGCCUGUUUGGUAAAUCUAUGGGUAAAUCAACCAGCUUAACUGGUUGAAUUCUGCAGAGACUGCCAGACUAGGGACCGGGAGAGGUGUGGGGUACUCUAGGGGUAGGGGUAAAAUCCUGUCAUCCUUAGAGGACCACCAGUUGCGAAGGCGCCACACUGGAACGGAUCCGACGGUCAGGGACGAAGCCUAGGGGCACGAACCGGAUUAGAUACCCGGGUAGUCCUAGGUGUAAACGCUGUGAACUUGGUGUCGGGGAUCCGCAAUGGGUCCUCGGUGCCGGAGUGAAGAUGUUAAGUUCACUGCCUGGGGAGUACGGUCGCAAGGCUGAAACUUAAAGGAAUUGGCGGGGGAGCACUGCAACGGGAGGAGCGUGCGGUUUAAUUGGAUCAACGCCGGA